UUGAAAUUCCUCAACCAAACUGGCUAUAAUAUAUAAAAUGACUCCUUAUACUAAAGUCCACAAUCUAAAAAUAUCUCAUUACUAUGGAACAUGAUCUUUGAAGAAUUAUCCAUUUGUGAAGGAAAAAUAACUGCAUGGCCCCGUACUUUUGAACAAGACACCUGGAUCUAAAUAGUGUUAUCCAGUGGGAAAUUUCCUUUGAAGCUUGAAGUCUAAUAUGGAAACAUUUUAUGUGUUCUUACAUAAGAGCAAAACAUGUGUGUGCCUAGUCACUAUCACACCCUGUCAAAAGCAGAGAGCAGCUGGA
rnacentral:lncRNA from 1 species